CAAAGUAGAGCUUGUUAGUUAAGCUUCUCAUUUACACUGGGGCGAAGUCGUGCAAUUCGAUAUAUUUUGA
rnacentral:tRNA from 1 species